GAUCAUGGCUCAGGAUAAACGCUGGCGGCGUGCUUAACACAUGCAAGUCGAACGAAGUUUUUCUUUCGGGAGGAACUUAGUGGCGGACGGGUGCGUAACGCGUGGGUAACCUGCCCUGUACAGGGGGACAACAGCUGGAAACGGCUGCUAAUACCGCAUAAGCCCUUAGCGCUGCAUGGUGCAUAGGGAAAAGGAGCAAUCCGGUACAGGAUGGACCCGCGUCUGAUUAGCCAGUUGGCAGGGUAACGG
rnacentral:rRNA from 1 species